UACGAGGGGUGCAAGCGUUGUUCGGAAUUACUGGGCGUAAAGCGUGAGGAGGCGGCUUGUUAAGUCUGAUGUGAAAGCCCCGGGCUCAACCCGGGAAGUGCAUUCGAUACUCCCAAGCUAGAGUAUCGGAGAGGUUGGUGGAAUUCUCGGUGUAGAGGUGAAAUUCGUAGAUAUCGAGAGGAACACCGGUGGCGAAGGCGGCCAACUGGACGAAUACUGACGCUGAGACUCGAAAGCGUGGGGAGCAAACAGG
rnacentral:rRNA from 1 species